AUACGGAGGAUGCGAGCGUUAUCCGGAUUUAUUGGGUUUAAAGGGAGCGUAGGUGGACUGUUAAGUCAGUUGUGAAAGUUUGCGGCUCAACCGUAAAAUUGCAGUUGAAACUGGCAGUCUUGAGUACAGUAGAGGUGGGCGGAAUUCGUGGUGUAGCGGGGAAAUGCUUAGAUAUCACGAAGAACUCCGAUUGCGAAGGCAGCUCACUGGACUGCAACUGACACAGAGGCUCGAAAGUGUGGGUAUCAAACAGGAUUAGAUACCCUGGUAGUCCACACAGUAAACGAUGAAUACUCGCUGUUUGCGAUAUACAGCAAGCGGCCAAGCGAAAGCAUUAAGUAUUCCACCUGGGGAGUACGCCGGCAACGGUGAAACUUAAAGGAAUUGACGGGG
rnacentral:rRNA from 1 species